AUUGAACGCUGGCGGCAUGCCUUACACAUGCAAGUCGAACGGCAACGGGCCUUCGGGUGCCGACGAGUGGCGAACGGGUGAGUAAUGUAUCGGAACGUACCUUUCAGUGGGGGAUAACGUAGCGAAAGUUACGCUAAUACCGCAUAUUCUGUGAGCAGGAAAGCAGGGGAUCGCAAGACCUUUCGCUGAUUGAGCGGCCGAUAUCAGAUUAGCUAGUUGGUGAGGUAAAGGCUCACCAAGGCGACGAUCUGUAGCGGGUCUGAGAGGAUGAUCCGCCACACUGGAACUGAGACACGGUCCAGACUCCUACGGGAGGCAGCAGUGGGGAAUUUUGGACAAUGGGGGCAACCCUGAUCCAGCCAUGCCGCGUGAGUGAAGAAGGCCUUCGGGUUGUAAGGCUCUUUCGGCCGGGAAGAAAUCGUAUCAGCUAAUACCUGGUGCGGAUGACGGUACCGGCAUAAGAAGCACCGGCUAACUACGUGCCAGCCGCCGCAGUAACAC
rnacentral:rRNA from 1 species